rnacentral:rRNA from 1 species
AUUGAACGCUGGCGGAAUGCUUUACACAUGCAAGUCGAACGGCAGCACGGACUUCGGUCUGGUGGCGAGUGGCGAAUGGGUGAGUAAUGUAUCGGAACGUGCCCAGUCGUGGGGGAUAACGUAGUGAAAAUUACGCUAAUACCGCAUACGAUCUAUGGAUGAAAGCGGGGGAUCGCAAGACCUCGCGCGAUUGGAGCGGCCGAUAUCAGAUUAGGUAGUUGGUGGGGUAAAGGCCCACCAAGCCAACGAUCUGUAGCUGGUCGGAGAGGACGACCAGCCACGCUGGAAAUGAGACGCGGUCCAGACUCCUACGGGAGGCAGCAGUGGGGAAUUUUGGACAAUGGGCGAAAGCCUGAUCCAGCCAUUCCGCGUGCAGGAUGAAGGCCCUCGGGUUGUAAACUGCUUUUGUACAGAACGAAAAGGUUUCUACUAAUACUAGGAGCUCAUGACGGUACUGUAAGAAUAAGCACCGGCUAACUACGUGCCAGCCGCCGCCGUAA